AAGAAUGCUAGGCUUACACAUGCAAGUCGAGGGGCAUCAGGAAGAAAGCUUGCUUUCUUUGCUGGCGACCGGCGCACGGGUGAGUAACACGUAUCCAACCUGCCCUUUACUCGGGGAUAGCCUUUCGAAAGAAAGAUUAAUACCCGAUAGCAUAAUGAUUCCGCAUGGUUUCAUUAUUAAAGGAUUCCGGUAAAGGAUGGGGAUGCGUUCCAUUAGGUUGUUGGUGAGGUAACGGCUCACCAAGCCUUCGAUGGAUAGGGGUUCUGAGAGGAAGGUCCCCCACAUUGGAACUGAGACACGGUCCAAACUCCUACGGGAGGCAGCAGUGAGGAAUAUUGGUCAAUGGGCGAUGGCCUGAACCAGCCAAGUAGCGUGAAGGAUGACUGCCCUAUGGGUUGUAAACUUCUUUUAUAUUAGAAUAAAGUGCAGUAUGUAUACUGUUUUGUAUGUAUAAUAUGAAUAAGGAUCGGCUAACUCCGUGCCAGCAGCCGCGGUAAUACGGAGGAUCCGAGCGUUAUCCGGAUUUAUUGGGUUUAAAGGGAGCGUAGGUGGACUGGUAAGUCAGUUGUGAAAGUUUGCGGCUCAACCGUAAAAUUGCAGUUGAUACUGUCAGUCUUGAGUACAGUAGAGGUGGGCGGAAUUCGUGGUGUAGCGGUGAAAUGCUUAGAUAUCACGAAGAACUCCGAUUGCGAAGGCAGCUCACUGGACUGCAACUGACACUGAUGCUCGAAAGUGUGGGUAUCAAACAGGAUUAGAUACCCUGGUAGUCCACACAGUAAACGAUGAAUACUCGCUGUUUGCGAUAUACAGUAAGCGGCCAAGCGAAAGCAUUAAGUAUUCCACCUGGGGAGUACGCCGGCAACGGUGAAACUCAAAGGAAUUGACGGGGGCCCGCACAAGCGGAGGAACAUGUGGUUUAAUUCGAUGAUACGCGAGGAACCUUACCCGGGCUUAAAUUGCAGUGGAAUGAUGUGGAAACAUGUCAGUGAGCAAUCACCGCUGUGAAGGUGCUGCAUGGUUGUCGUCAGCUCGUGCCGUGAGGUGUCGGCUUAAGUGCCAUAACGAGCGCAACCCUUAUCUUUAGUUACUAACAGGUCAUGCUGAGGACUCUAGAGAGACUGCCGUCGUAAGAUGUGAGGAAGGUGGGGAUGACGUCAAAUCAGCACGGCCCUUACGUCCGGGGCUACACACGUGUUACAAUGGGGGGUACAGAAGGCAGCUACCUGGUGACAGGAUGCUAAUCCCAAAAGCCUCUCUCAGUUCGGAUCGAAGUCUGCAACCCGACUUCGUGAAGCUGGAUUCGCUAGUAAUCGCGCAUCAGCCACGGCGCGGUGAAUACGUUCCCGGGCCUUGUACACACCGCCCGUCAAGCCAUGGGAGCCGGGGGUACCUGAAGUACGUAACCGCAAGGAGCGUCCUAGGUAAGC
rnacentral:rRNA from 1 species